rnacentral:rRNA from 1 species
CCUACGGGAGGCAGCAGUGGGGGAUAUUGCACAUGGGGGAAACCCUGAUGCAGCGACGCCGCGUGUGGGAAGACGGUCCUCUGGAUUGUACACCACUGUCCCCAGGGACGAAGAUGACGGUACCUGGGGAGGAAGCUCCGGCUAACUACGGGCCAGCAGCCGCGGGAAUACGUAGGGAGCGAGCGUUGUCCGGAAUUACUGGGUGUAAAGGGAGCGUAGGCGGGGAUGCAAGUUGGGUGUCAAAAAUACCGGCUCAAAUGGUAGUCGCACUCAAAACUGCAGCUCUUGAGUGAAGUAGAGGCAGGCGGAAUUCCUAGUGUAGCGGUGAAAUGCGUAGAUAUUAGGAGGAACACCAGUGGCGAAGGCGGCCUGCUGGGCUUUUACUGACGCUGAGGCUCGAAAGUGUGGGGAGCAAACAGGAUUAGAUACCCUGGUAGUC